UGGGGAAUAUUGCACAAUGGGCGCAAGCCUGAUGCAGCAACGCCGCGUGAACGAUGAAGGUCUUCGGAUCGUAAAGUUCUGUUGCAGGGGAAGAUAAUGACGGUACCCUGUGAGGAAGCCCCGGCUAACUACGUGCCAGCAGCCGCGGUAAUACGUAGGGGGCUAGCGUUAUCCGGAUUUACUGGGCGUAAAGGGUGCGUAGGUGGUCUUUCAAGUCGGUGGUUAAAGGCUACGGCUCAACCGUAGUUAGCCUCCGAAACUGGAAGACUUGAGUGCAGGAGAGGAAAGUGGAAUUCCCAGUGUAGCGGUGAAAUGCGUAGAUAUUGGGAGGAAGACCAGUAGCGAAGGCGGCUUUCUGGACUGCAACUGACACUGAGGCACGAAAGCGUGGGUAGCAAACAGG
rnacentral:rRNA from 1 species